rnacentral:lncRNA from 1 species
CAGCCAUGGGGACCGGGGCACGGCUGAAAGCUUUUCUUGCUCUUCAGGUGCUGAAAAUCCAUACGCUAUUUUUGCAGAGUACUGAAUUCAGCAUUUCUUUAGUCACCUCCGGCUGCCGAGAUGCCAAUCCCCAUCGGUUCCUCAACAACCUGCAGCGGGGAGCUGCUGCUGCUGCUGCCACAAUCCAGUCAUGAAAAGCAGAGCUGGCCACGGUACCAGGAGGCACACAAGGAGCAGGGAUCUUCGCCCAAGGAAAGAAAAAUGUAAAAAAUAAUAAUAAUAGUAAUAAAAAAAAAUUAAAAGGAGGGGGGAAAAAAGGAAGAAGAAAAAGUCUCUCCUCCGCUGCCUUCUCCUCCCGCAGCACACGCUGGAUCCCGGAGGGUGUGUGGGGAUGGGGAGGCGGUCUCUCCCCCUCUCCCCGCCGCCAGCCCCCGGCCGCAGCCCCGCGGCUCUACCUCCUCCAGGUGGGCAGCCUCAGGGCCGGGGGGUGGCCGCGGAGCCCGCACCUCCGCCCGGGCGAUCCGGAUGCGGCACGGUCAUCGCCUGCCUUGCUGCUGCUGCUGCUGCUGCUGCCGCCGCCGGGGACGAGGAGCCGCUGUCGAAGAGACCACCGAAAAAAAGGAAGGGAAAAAAAAAAAAAAAAAAAAAAAAGAGAGCAAUCUUCCACCAUCCCCCUUUUCUCUUCCUCCUCCAGCAGCACCAGCCGCUCUCCGCAUCCGCUCCCUGCCCCCGGCCCCUCACUCCGCCGGGGCUGGGGGACACAAAGGCUCCCGCGCGCAGGGGGGCGGCCGGCCCUCAGCUCCCCGGAGCCCCCCCGGAGCCUUCCUCCUCCUCUUCCUCCUCCCGCUGCGGACACCGCCAGCCCCGGCUCGGGUGGGCUAGGCGGGCGCCGGGGGGGGGGCCCACGGCCGCCGGCAGAACGGCACGGCGCGGUUCACACGCGGGGAGGGGGCGGCCCGGCAGCGGCAGGCGGCGCGGCGCUGCUGCCCUGCCCGGCGGCGGCCGCACGGAGCCGGGCGGGCGGCGAGCCGAGGGGCGGGGGAGCGCCGAGGGCCCGGAUCUGGGUUGCGCGGACGCGGGCUCCACCUAGCAGCCGGCGCCGCGCCGCGCCGAC